rnacentral:lncRNA from 1 species
UUCAAAGAAUACAAGAGUACAGAGGGAUCAGUUACCAAGAGUCAAUACACCUUUCUAUGUAGCUUUCCAAGAUGACAGAGGCGGAGUAUUUGCAAAUCUCCAAGUAUUUGCCAUUAUAGCAGGUGGGUAUCUGUCACCCUUUGCUGCAUUAGCUGAAGCAAUUGAUUCAAGCUCUUUCAUUUCUUCCGGUGUCAACUUCACCGAUAAGGCCUUGAUGUUGCUCUCCAGGUUCUCAAUCUUGGUGGUGCCAGGAAUGGGACAGACGUCGUCCCCUUGAUGAUGAACCCAUGCUAAGGCCAAUUGGGAUGGAGUACAACCCUUUCUUGUUGCCAACUGAGCAACCUGCUCGAACAGCUUGUUAUUGUGCUCAACAUUCUCCUCCUGAAACCUUGGGAUCCUCUACAAAUGCAGCAAACAUUUGCUGUAAAACAUUAAAAUCAUAUAGACUGAUUGUACCCAUGCACCUGUGCUUUGCUUUUCAAAAUCUAGCCCAAAAGCAUCACUUACUAAGAAGGCACUUGUAAAUUUUACCAAGAGAGUACAUUCUCACCUCCGACCAGAGAAUUAAAUAAAAAAAAAAAGAAGAAGAUGAUGCCAUGAAAUCUUUUGUACUACUUACUUUCUAAAUAUCACUCCAGGCACAUACAUGCCAAGGUAAAAGCAACAAGGGAGUGCAAGAAAGUGUAAUAUGGGGAUUGGACUAAUAUGUUAGUACAAUCUCAGGGAGUUGUCACAUGGUCAAAAAGCUAGAGUAACAGCAAAUGUUCAAUGACAUUUCUGAAAUUAAUCUGCAGUUACCAUAAGUUCAAACCAAAUAGACUCAAGUUUUUAAGCGAGAAAAUGAGAUUUAAAAUGCAGAGGAUACUGUUUUACUAUCUGCUUAACCAUAGUGGAUACUUAUUCACUAUGAGAUUCACGAAGUAUACUGAGGUACAGUGCUCGUUCCAGAUCUUUGCUUUAAGAUUAAAAAAAAAAUGAUGUGGUGCUUUUGCCUGUUUCUAAAAGAUGCCCUGUCAGAUAUGGUGGCAGGGAAAGACAGCAGAGAGCAUAUGAAAAGGAAAAUAAAACAAUGUCGCCAGUAACUGCUUAAAAAAAUGGAAAUGUGACCAGUGACCAAACAGGAUAACAGGUAGGUUUUUCAUAGCAACAACUGGCUACAUUUCACUUCUGAAACAUAGACUUCAGAGAAAGUUCAAGUAACAUAGCAAAGUCACAUGAGCCAAACACAGGAAACUAUAGUCAAGAGAACUUAGUCAAAAACAAGAUAAUAGGAAGAUUUUUCUUACUAACGAACAACUGCUUCCAUUUCAGUUCUGAAACAUGGACUUCAGAGCAAGUUGAAGUAACAUACAAAGUUAAUUGAGAACCAAAAACAAAGGAAGAUAUACGCAAGAAAACUUUUGUAUAUUUUCUAGUAAAUCUAAGGAAACCAUGAAUUCAACGUAUUACGAAUUCUGGAAAACACCCCAUGGGCUGCAAGGAGGGGUCAACAAUGGACUCAGAUUACUAGAUGUAAUCUGCGAUCGGAGUAAAAUUUCACAUUGCACAAGCCUUGAGCACAUACCUUACGGAAGUCAUUACUAGUCAAGUUCUCCGUCAACUUCGCACCAGAUGCAAAGAAUCCUCUGCCCAGAGGACUGAACGAUACAAUUCCUAUGCCUAGUUCCCUAUAAUUAAAAAUCAUCCUGAAUUAGUAAGCUGAGGGGGCAAUACAAGCUCCCAACUAUGGAAGAUUAUUAUGUGGAGCAUAUCUUUUGGAUGACUUACCUGCAUGUGGGAAUAACCACUUCCUCAGCAUCUCUUGUCCACAAGGACCAUUCUAGUUGCACAGCUGUUAUGGGAUGAACAGCAUGAGCCCUCCUGAUUGUUUCCGGAGAGGCCUCAGAUAGACCUAUGUAUCUUACUUUACCCUCUUCAACCAGUUGCUUCAGAGCUCCAACCUAGAAGUUGCAGGUUAUAGAAGGAUUUCAAUUCACAAAUCUGUCUAAUGUGCAAAUCUAUUUGUAAUUUCACAACAAAUACAAAAGCACAAGCGAAAAGGCUUGGGGACAUCCAUCAACUUCCGGUGAAUACUUAAAAAAGCAGAGGACUACUAGCGCCUAACUAAGCUAUAAAACAUACACGAGUGAUAUUGCAAAGACAUGAAUAAAAUUAAGAGAAAAAGAGGGGGGGGGGCAUGAACAUAUUCUACUGUAGAAUUAACCUGUUCUACUUGCAUAGAUUAGAAACGAUGGAAUUCAAUCUUGGAAAAUUCAAUUCACUUCACAAUAAUGCAAGUUUAUCCAAUUAGAUUCUCAAAAUCAAAUAGGAAUCUACAGAUUACAUAAAUAAUACUGCAAAACUUAAAAACUCAUUCUACACCAUAAUGAAUUGUUCUGAUCCCUCAGUAAUGCUUGAGAAUCUGAAUGAAUUAAUCCAAGAAAGACCAAUAAGAUCUUUAAAAAGAAAAAGAACUAAAAAACAGACUGAUAAGUAUCAAGGGAAAAGUAAUACAAACCAUGAUUUCAAUAGGAACGCUUUAAUUAAUUUAAUAGUUCUGAAAACAAUAGUUCAAUGUAAUCCAAACAAUGCUUAGCUGCUGUUUACUUGCAUAGGCUUCAAAUAAGGAAAUAGAUUUUCCCUUUUUUUUUGUGUUGUUUGUUGUGUUUGGGGGGGAGGUGGGGGGAAUCAUUGCACAGUAAUGCAAAUUUAUCUAACUCUGUCAGCUCGAAUUGACCAAAUGUCAGCUCAUUGAACUCACAUUCAGUAAAUCCUAGGACCCUAUGGACUAAAACACACACACACCCACUCACCCACCCACACACACACAACCCCCCUCUCUCUCUUUUGUAGAAUAUUUUUACAUUUCAUAAUAAUUUUGGGAACUUCUCCUCAUUCUAGAGCUCAAACACGGAACCAUGGUUAGCAUCAAUGAUAGCAAAACUUGCACAAACUGCUAUAUGACAAAUUGCUCUGAUUGAUUAUUACUAGAACUCGAACUGAAUUAAUUAAUCCAAAAGAGAUUGAUGGAAAUAGAAGACCACGAAAACAAACCGUGAUUUCAAUAGGAAUCGUUCUGUCAAUCCGAUGAACAAAAUAGAGAUCAAUAUAAUCAACAUCUAGCCUCUUCAAACUGGCCGCACAAGCUUCCCUCACAUAGUCUGGAUGGCCACAUGCUACAUGUUCUCCAGUUGGCAAAAUUCUUGACGCAAAUUUCGUUGCAAUUUGAACUUUCUCCCUUUCCACCCCCUUCAAUGCCUACAUCCACAACACUCAGAUUAAAUUACCAAAAAGCAAAAUCCCCCAAUAAAAAAAGGGAGAAAUUUCCAACCACAUCUCAGCUGAGUUAGUAUAGGCAUAAAAAAAAUCCAAAAACAAUAUAAAAAUCUUUACAAACAAAAAUCCAUCAAUAAAUCGAAAAAACAAAAAAGAAACAGAAAUUGCAUUUGGUCAUCAUUAUACUUUCUUGAACCCAGAAAAAAAAAAAAAAAGAAGAGGAAGAGAAGUUGGUUUUGGCCAUUUUGGCUUAUGAGGUGUGACUUUACCUUUCCAAUGAGGAUUUCAUUAGUAUGGGGGCCAUAGACAUCAGAGGUGUCCAGAUGAGUGAUACCACUAUUGAUGGCAUGGUGGAUCAGCUUGAUCAUAUCUGGCUCAGGUUUUGGAGGGCCAUAGCUAAAAGACAUUCCCAUGCAACCUAAGCCUUGGGCUGACACCUCUAGGCCUUGUGAUCCCAGCUUGAUUCUCCUCACUCCUGCCGCCAUUUUUGUCUUUAUUGAGCUCUGUUACUAAAUUUUUUCCAAAACCCUGCUGGCUUUUCUCCUCUACUGUUCAGUUAAGUAUAGAAAGUAGAAAGUAGGGAGCGUCAAAUAGAGAAUUGGAUGGUAUGAUGACGUAGUCAGUGAGCUCAUCUAGUGGACAAAUUGCAGACAAGAUCCGGCACGGAUCCGACUAUCCGACUAUGGUGCAGAUGUCUGCACCAAAUGAAAAGCUGCCUUCCAGCAGCUUAGGACACACUUGUUGGGAACAGUGGCGGUUCAGCUGGGCACCGGUAAAGCGGUGUAAGUUUGAAGUGACGUCUCCAGAGUGCAGCCCUAGUCCACUAGGAGUUGAGGACAUUUUUUUAAGUGGAGUGUAGUUGUUUGUGAAUUACUUGUAAAAUUCACCAUAGAGUGUAGUUGUCGAUAAAAAAAAAAUAUAAAUAGUAAUAAAAUAUUAUACUUACAUUGUUGUAAAUAUGUAUAAAUAAUUUAUUUAGAAUUAUAAAAUAUUUAAAAAAUAUUAUAUCAUUUUAGAACGAUUGAUCUGACAAUUAUUCCUGUCUCACCUCGUGCAGUUGAGGCACGGAUUGUUGUUGCAGGCAGCAAUUAAUCAUAUGAAAAAGUUGACCGCCAUUUGAUAAAAAAUGAAAAUGUAGGGUUCAUAUGAUAUUUUAUAUAUCGAUUUUAACAUUACGAGUGAAAAUUGCAAAAUUUAUUUUAUUUUUAUAAAAUUUUAAACGUGAGUUACAUCUUGAAUAAAUUCAAAUAAAUUGCACGUGGAAUCGAAUAAAACUGACAUAAAUAAUUUUUUCUGACAACAGCGCCUCUUGUCCGGCGUGAGGAGCGUGGAAUGGGGCCGGAGUGCCGGACAAAUUGUAAAAUAAGAUCCGGCAAAAAGUGGGCACGUGAUGCUAUAUAUAAAUUAAUCACCAGAAUCGGAUUUCUUUCAUGGCCCUUCAAUCUCCUUAUUUUUUUUUUUCACUCUUAAUUGUGCUGUCACUAACUGACUAACACACACAACUAGCCGGAAAAAUCAAUUAGAUUUUUUUUUAAAAAAAAAUUCCAGCAAGAGAUGAGUGAAAUUUAAAAAACAAAAAGGAAAUCGAGUGAUCAGAAUCCAAAAAACCUCUGAACCAAAGUCUCAUAGACUAAUUUAUUAGUUAUUUAAUUAAGAGUACUUGAGAUAAUAUCAAGUUGAACAUCCUUUACAAUUAUUCCACCUAGUAUAAUAUACAAUCAAUUACAUGUAUAUAGAUGGAAAGGAAAAGCAACAGAAACUUGAAUUACCUCCUUUAGUUUUCUUUCCUCCACCUUUCUUCCUAUGGUUUCUCACUCACAUUUUCACUUAAUUAUUUUUUUUUGGUAACCCAAAACACGCACUCACAUUUUCACUUUAUUAUUAUUUUUUUUGGUGAUGACGCACCCAAGUUAGAUAGGAAGAUUCAAGUUUGGGAAAAGUUUCGAACCCAAAACCUCAUUUAGUCCAAGAGCACGCUAGAGUAACACUGGGGACUUAUUUUUUUUCGUCUUAGUCAUCUAAAAGGCAGAAUAUUACUGUAAAAGAAUGGGCGAAAUGGUAGAAUUGGGCGGGCAUCAAUUCAAUCCUAGUGAUUUCAAGCAUAUUAUAAUCACAGAAACUGUUGUGCAAACCCUGAAAACUUUUGUGGUUAUUUUGCAGGGAUUCAUAUGGUCGAUUUCCCAGCACGGAUUCACUGUACUCAUUAUCUGUUUACAUUUGUUACUUUCAGUGUAAUCACAUAACCAGAUUACAAAGCUUCAUGUAAACUUAUAUAACGUGAGCUUCGAAGAAAACAAGAGUACAGAGGAAUGCAGCUGGGCAUCUGUCGCCCUUUGCUGCAGUAGCUGAAGCAGUUGAUUCAAGCUUAGCCAUUUCUUCCAGUGUCAACUUCACUGAUAAGGCCUUGAUGUUGCUCUCCAGGUUCUCAAUCUUGGUGGUGCCAGGAAUGGGACAGACGUCGUCCCCUUGGUGAUGAACCCAUGCUAAGGCCAAUUGGGAUGUAGUACAACCCUUCCUUGUUGCCAAUUCAGUAACCCGUUCGAACAGCUUGUUAUUGUGCCCAAUAUUCUCCUCCUGAAACCUUGGGAUGCUCUACAAAUGCAGCAAAGGUGCUGUAAAACAUUAAAAAUCAUGGAGACGAAUCGUGUCCAUGUAGCUGUACUUUUUUCAAGUCUAGCCCAAAAGCAUCACUUUUUACCAACGUUCUCAAAUCCGAACAGAGAAUUAAUAACAAAAAGAAAAGCAGAAAAAAAAAAGAUGAUGCCAUGCAAUGUUUUGUACUGCUGCUUUACAGUUUCUAAACAUUGCUCCAGGCACAUACGUGCCAAGGUAAAAGCAAAACAGGAGUGCAAGAAAGUGUAAAAUGGCUAUUGGACUGAUAUAUUACAAUCACAGGGAGUUGUCACAUGGUCACAAGAACCAGAAAUUGCGAAUGUUUAAUGACAAAUCCGAAAUGAAUCUGCAGCCACCUUGAGUCUAAACCAGAUAGAUCCAAAGUUCCUAAGCGAGAAAAAGAGAAUUAAAAUGAAGAGGGAUACUGUUUUGGAAUCUGCUUAACCAUAUAAUGGUGCCGUGGAUACUUAUUUGCUAUGAGAUUCAAAAUUAUACUGAGGUGCAGUGCCUGUUCCAAAUCCUUGCUUUAAGAUUAACAAAAACAAAAGGUGGCAAGAGAGAACAAUAUUUCUAAGGAAGGCAAUGGGGCGGUCACCGGCCCCGCAUGGGGCGGGGCGGGGGGAAUUUUUUAACCCCCGCUUAGAAAUGGGGUGGGGCGCCCCACCCCCGGCUCAUCCCCUGCCUUGCCACCCGCUUUAAAUAUAUAUAUAUAAUAUAUAUGUAUGUAUAUAAUUAUAUAUAUAAUAUAUAAUUUAAUUAGUUACAAACUUAUGACAAUGAUAUUAUUAGUUAUAUGUAUUAUAUAAUGUAUAUUAGUACAUGUAAUAUAAUUGAUAUUAUCAAUUAUACUAAUAAUUAUAUAUAUGUACUCAUACAAAUUAUUAAUUGGUUAUACUAAAUUUACUAAUACAUUUAUACUAAAACCCUAAUUACACUUAAUACAAUAACAUUUUUUUCUCAAAAAAAAGCACAAGCACAAUAAUGAAUUAGUGAUUGUAUUUGUAUUAAAAGUAAAAACUUGACUACUUUAGUUGUAUUUAUUACAUCAUGUUGGAUUGUAUUCAAAUAAUUUUUGUUUGAUUGUUUUUACAAGUUUCAAUUGUGAAAUUACAAUAAAUGGUAAUUUGAUGAUGUGUUGAAAUUUUAGUACUUGAUUAUUUGUUAAAGUUUAACUACAACAAAAUUAUAUAACAAAUUUUUAUUAGCCCCACGAGGGCACUCGCGGCAGAAGCGGGGAUGGGGCGGGAAAACAUUCUCCGUUAUAUUUGUAUAGAAUGUGGCCAGUAACAGCAUAAAAAGAAGAAGAAGAAGAAGAAGAAAUGUGAACAGGGACCAAGCAAGAUAACAGGUAGGCAUUUCCUGAUACAAAUAACUGCUUGUUUUCAGUUCUGAAAGAUAGAAGUCAAGUAACAUAGCAAAGUCAUUUGAUAACCAAACACAAUGGAAAAUAUAGUCUCUAAACUUUGAAAACAAGGCAGUCAAGAAAACAAGAUGAUAGGUAAUUUUUUUCUUACAAACAAACAACCUGCUUCCUUUUCAGUUCUGAAACAUGGACUUCCAAGCAAGUUCAAGUAACACAGCAAAUUCAAUAGACAACCACCAGAAAAGGAAAGCAUAGACAAGAAAACUUAUGUACAUGAUCCAGUAAAUAUAAGGAAACCAUGAAUUUGAUAAGCUACUUAUUCCUAUGCCUAGUUCCCUAUAAUUAAAAAUCAUCAUGAAUUAGUAAGCUGAGGGGGCAAUAGAAGCUCCCAACGAUGGAAGAUUAUUAUGUGGAGCAUAUCUUUUGGAUGACAUGUGGGAAUAGCCACUUCCUCAGCAUCUCUUGUCCACAAGGACCAUUCUAGUUGCACAGCUGUUAUGGGAUGAACAGCAUGAGCCCUCCGGAUUGUUUCCGGAGAGGCUUCAGAUAGACCUAUGCAUCUUACUUUACCCUCUUCAACUAGUUGCUUCAGAGCUCCAACCUACAAGUUACAGGUUAUAGAAGGAUUUCAAUUAACAAAUCUGUCUAGUAUACAAAUCUAUUUUGUAAUUUCACAAGAAAUUCAAAAGCACAAAAGAAAAAGCUUGGAGUCAUCCACCAACUUCUGCCGAAUACUUAAAAAUGCAGCGGACUACUAGAGCCUAAUUAAGCUAUUAAAAAAAAAAGAAUAUUGCAAAAACACGAAUAAAUGUAAGGGGAGGGGGAAUAAAGAGAAGUGAACAUAUUCUACCACAGAAUUAGCGUGUUCUACUUGCAUAAGUAACAAAAGAUGGAAUUUGAUCUUGGAAAAUUUAAUGCACCUCACAAUAAUGCAAGUUUAUUUCGAUUUUCAAACUCAAAUAGGAAUCUACAGAUUACAUAAAUAAUGCUGCAAAACUUGAAGACUCAUUCUACUCCAUAAUGACAUGUUCUGGUCCAUCAGAUUUGCUUGAAAAUCUCAGUGAACUAAUCCAGGAAAGACCAAUAAGAUCUUCAAAAAGAAAAAAGAUAAACAUAAGGGCUGAUAAGUAUCAAGGGAAAGGUAAAACAAACCGUGAUUUCAGUAGGAACCCUUUAAUUAAUUUAAUGAACACAGUAACACUUGAAACUAACUCUACAGGUUUGCAAACUUACUCCUCAAAAUAAAUAGUACUGAAAACAAUAAUUCAAUAUAAUCCAAACUAGACUUAGCUGCUGUUUACUUGCAUAGGCUUCAAAUGAGGAAAUAGAUUUGCUUUUUUGGUUUUCUUCUUUUUGGGUUUUUUUUUUUUGGGAGGGGGGGGGGUGUUGGGAGACCAUUUCGCAGUAAUGCAAAUUUAUCUAACUCUGAUUCUUGGAGAAACUCCCAAUAUUAUGAUGAAAUUCAACAUUAUUCUACAAAUGGGUGUUUUUGGUUGUAUGUUGUGGAGAAGAGGGUCCUAAUGCAUUUGUGGAAUGCGAAUACAAUAGAGCUUGCAUUUGGUAAAUGUGAGGUUUAAAAAAGUUAGACCUUGAUCAAAGUCCCUUUUGUAGAAUGCUUUUACAUUUCAUCAUGAUUUUGGGAACUUCUCCUGAUUCUGGAGCUGCAAACAGGGAAUCAUGGAUUACAUAAAUGAUAGUAGAACUUGCACAAACUGCAAUAUGACAAAUUGCUCUGAUUGAUUAUUGCUAAAACUCGAACUGCAUUAAUUAAUCCAAAAGAGAUUGAUAGAAAUAGAAGACUACGAAAACAUAUUCUUGAGGCAAACUUCGUAGCAAUUUGAACUUUCUCCCUUUGCACCCCCUUCAAUGCUUACAUCCACAACAUUCAAAUUAAAUUAUCAAAAAGCAGAAUACCAUUCCCACAAAAAUUCCAAAAAAAGAAUAAGACAGAACCCCCCCCCCCCAACAAACACACCACAAAAAAAAAAAAAAAAUCUCAAUUGAGUUAGUAUAGGCAACCCAAAAAAAAAAGACAAAACACCCCAGAAACAGUGUAAAAAUCUUAACAAACAAAAAUCCAUCAAUAAAUCGCAAAAAAAAAAAAACAAAAAGACCAGAAAUUGCAUUAAGCCAUCAUUAUACUUUCUUGAACCAAAAAAGUGGGUUCUGGCCAUUUUGGCUAAGGCUUUGAUUAUACCUUUCCAAUGAGGAUUUCAUUAGUAUGGGUGCCAUACACAUCAGAGGUGUCCAGAUGAGUGAUGCCACAAUUGAUGGCAUAGUGGAUCAGCUUGAUCCUAUCUGCCUCAGGCUUUGGAGGGCCAUAGCCAAAAGACAUUCCCAUGCAGCCUCAGCCUUGCGCUGACACCUCUAGGCCUUGUGAUCCUUUUUUUUUUUUUGUCAGCAACGAUACAUGUGUAUAACCUACUCUAUCCUAAUCUAGGGGGGAGGGGAGCCUAAGGAGGCUGUUAUAGGGGCUAAUGGGUAUACAGACCCAACUAGACCCAACUAGACCCAACUAGGCCUUGUGAUCCUAUCUGCCAUUUUUUAAGCUUUGUCAGUAAUUUCUUCCAAAACCCUGCUGGCUUCUGUCUCCUUUUCGAGUAGAGUAUUGAAAGUAGGGAGAGUUAACAUGAGAUAAUUGGAUGGUAUGAUGGCGUAGUUGGUGAGCUCAUCACUUUCUGCCCGUCCUCGAAGAUGGCAUAUUACUAGCGGAGUAAUUGCAGAUAAUAUAUAUAAAUAUGCAAGUGGCUAGGGUGUGUACUAUAAUGAGUUUGUUUGGAUUGCGAUUUAUUUGUCAAAAUAUAUUUGUUUACAUUAUUAUUAUAAUUUUUAAUACAUUUUUUUAUCUUUUCAAUUACCUUUUUAUACAUCACAUCACAAAAAGUGCUAUAAUAAAAAUAUCUCUAAUAAUUUACAAUCCAAACAAAUUCAAUAUUUCAGCGGCAAGUAUCUUCCGCACAGACCACAACGAAUCCUUCACUAGAGGGAAAUACAAAAGGGUUAAUUUCAAAAACCUCAUUCAUCCUAAUAUUACCUGUCAUGUCAAAGUUUUAAAAAUAUAACUUAUCUCGCCUAUUAAUAAGACGUGACUAGAUAUCUCAAUCAAAGGUAUUUUUUUUUAUGGAUAUAAUAGUUUCCUAUACUAUGAGGAGGGGAGGGACUAAGGAGGUUCCGGGAUAAUUCGAUGGAAACUGAAUCAUCAUUGGAUCAGAUGGGUACAUUACGUACCCAUAUGGAUUUUUUAAAUAAGGCCACAUUUAAUUGUGGCAAAUUAAUAGGAGGCAAGAUUUGAUGCAUUGAUGGUGACUACCAGCCAAUAAGCUGGUGGUUGUCUCAAUCAAAGGUAUUGAAACUCAAUAAAAUUUUCCUACCUUUUUAAAUAGCAAAGGUUGGGAAAAGAAAAAUAAAAUCCUACAAGCUAAAAUAUCUAAAAACAAAUAACAAGAAUGCCAUUGAAAAUAUUUUUCUCCCUCUUUGUCGCAAAAAUUUUUGCUUUUAAUGCUUGUCUUUGUUAUAACUGAUCUACUAAAAUUUUCUCUCCAAUUUCCUUUUUUGCAAUAAAAUUUUUGUAUCUUUUUGCUAUAAAAUCUUUACUCUUAAUUUCCUCAUUGUUCCAACCAAUCUCUCGAAGUUUUCACCUUUUUGUAAUGUUGAAGUAGUUUCAGAAGUUAUCCUUGUAGACAACAAUUUAUUCCCAACUAAACAACUUAUAUGUUUUCUAGUUACAAAUCGACUAAAUUUAUUCCUUAUUGCACUUACAAAUUCUCACAUUUUUAAUUUAAUAUUCCACCUUUUUUUGUCUUUUUUUCAUAUUUCAAAAUUCAUAAAUAAAAUUGUACAAGGGUAAAAAUGAAAGAUCAUAUAAUCUCUCUCCUUCGAUGCAUUUUUUAAUAUUACUUUUACACAUUAGGGGUGACAAUGUUACAUAAAUUGUCAUUCAAGGGAAUUUAUGUCAGAUUUCUAAAACUUCAAGAGUACUAGGCCAUAUUAGGAUAAAACUUCAAGAGCACUAGAAAAUCUCUUCCCGACAUAGGGGGUUGCCGCAUCUUUGAAUAUUAUUUAUAAGCCUCUAAUAAUUAAUGUCCAAUUAUAACUAUCUAAUAUAAAUAAAUGGAAAGUGUUAUAAUAUUUUAAAUCGGGACAUUUAAAUGUAUAAAAAGAAUAUAAUAAAAAUUAUGUAAAUGUCAAUGUAUAAAAAUUUACAUACAGAUUGUCUACUAUGUAGACAAAUGGUCAAACAUGUAGGGUGAUUUUCUGAGAGGUAUGAAGAGACAUUAUACGCUCAAAUAAAUAAUUCUUUGAUAAUCUUAUUUUAGACAAUGAUAUUAUUAUAUUUUUUUAGUUAAAAAAUAUUGUAGUGUCCAGGAAAUAGUGUUAUAAUUGUAGACGUAAUUAUAGAAAUUAUAUAAGUUAUUUUUACUAAAUAAAUUCUAUAGGUUUUCAUGAUAAUUUGUGAUAUUGAAAUAUUUUUAAAAGAAAAUAUCAAUAUAUUUAAACAUCAAAAAGAAUUAGUAAUAAGGACAAACAAGGAAAAAGGAAAGUGAAAUAUUUUAUAUAAGUAUUAUUUUUCAUUUUUUGUAAUAAGAAAUUAUUGCCAUAAUGUAAUGAGAAUUAGAACCAUAACCCAAUACUGUUUCACUCCUGGAAAGGAAGCUUCAAUCGUAAUUUUACUUGUCAAUACAAUCGUCCGAGCUGGUUCGGGUUCUAAGUUUAAUUGCCAACCAUAAUAAUAAAGUACAAACAGAUAACAGAGCUGCUUCACGUAAACCAUGUAACAGACCUUCAAAGAAAACAAGAGUACAGAGGAAUCAGCUACCAAGAGCCAUUACACCUUUCUAUGUAGCUUUCCAAGAUGACAGAGGCGGAGUAUUUGCAAAUCUCCAAGUAUGUGCCAUCAUAGCAGGUGGGUAUCUGUCACCCUUUGCUGCAUUAGCUGAAGCAAUUGAUUCAAGCUCAGCCAUUUCUUCCGGUGUCAACUUCACCGAUAAGGCCUUGAUGUUGCUCUCCAGGUUCUCAAUCUUAGU